rnacentral:rRNA from 1 species
AAUGAACGCUGGCGGCGUGCCUAACACAUGCAAGUCGAACGAGAAAGCGGGGCUUCGGCCCUGUUAGUAAAGUGGCGCACGGGUGAGUAACGCGUGGGUAACCUACCAUUUCGUCAGGAAUAACGUCUCGAAAGAGGCACUAAUACUUGAUAAGACCACGGAGUCUCUGGACUUUGGGGUAAAAGGCGGUGCAAGCUGCCGCGAAGUGAUGGGCCCGCGUAACAUUAGCUAGUUGGUGGGGUAAUGGCCUACCAAGGCUACGAUGUUUAGCUGGUCUGAGAGGAUGAUCAGCCACACUGGGACUGAAACACGGCCCAGACUCCUACGGGAGGCAGCAGUGAGGAAUUUUGCGCAAUGGGGGAAACCCUGACGCAGCAACGCCGCGUGAGUGAUGAAGGCCUUCGGGUUGUAAAGCUCUGUCGAUCGGAAAGAAACUACGUGGGAGUAACUGCCCACGUAUUGACGGUACCGGUAGAGGAAGCACCGGCUAACUCCGUGCCAGCCGCCGCAGUAAAAC